UGUCCUGGGGACAACUUUCAAAGUGCGGCCUGGACUUUGAGCCUCUUUGGCCUAGGUUACCCGAAAAGGGAAGUUUCCCUUUAAACAGCAGCGCUCUUAUGAACGCAGUUUUGGUGUCAUAACUGCUAUUUACACCCCUGCCUGCAUCCCUGGGUGUUGAGCCCUGGUGUCAGGUUUACCUUCAGGUGCUCAGCACCUGCGGAGGCCUCAGUGCCAUGCUAGGAGCUAUUCCUUCAUCCCCCGAGGGACAUUACUGAGCACCUACGCUCUGCUGGACGUUGGAAUUCGACGUAGAAGGAUGGUCCCUGUGUUCAGAGAGCUCAGAGUCCAGGCCCAUCUCUGAAGUGAGCAGAGGAAACUCGCGUACAAGAUUCAGAAUCUGAAGGGCCUGCAAGCUGAAGGGCUAUUGCUCACUGUCUGAAGGAUCCCAUUGCCAAAAAUGGAAGUGCUGUUUGGAGGGCUGUUUUUGCCGUGUCCCUUGGACUUAAAUGGAACUGAAUUCUCUUGCAAAGAUGGAAAGGAGAGGAGAAGAGGAGGGGGUGCCUGGGCUGGGAGCUGGCUCUGCUAAUCUAUGCACUGGAGGUCCAAGUUCAAAAAUGCUUGCAGGAAAGCUUCAGUUCCAUUUUUUUUUUUUUCCCCAUACACAAUGAAGCCGUUGUAUGUCCAGAAGCUGGGAGAAGACAGCUGGAUUUCUAUGGCUCCACGGCCAGCCUCGUUUUUAUUCCUUUUUGAUUCUCCUCUUUUGGAGACACCCCACAGGACACAUCGGUCUGGAGAAGAAAAUACUAGUCAGUCUCAUGUGGUAACGUCUAGAAAACAAGUACAUCCUGACCAGGAGUGAUCAGCCCUCAAGUAGCAUGAAGCCUCAGUGAGUAUGUGAAUCAUGACUUUCAGUAAAACAAGGAACAUUCAAGACCUGACCUUCACCUUGACAUUAGUCCUGCCUCUGAUGACCAUUUUAAGUGGGAAGUUCCUGGACUGCUGGGUCCCCUGGCCGUGUUAGUUUCAUCUUGUAAACUACCCCGUGCAGGAAUGUGUUGAAUAAAUGCCCAUCUGAUUUCAAAAGUC